CGGAUUGGAGUCUGNAACCCGACUCCAUGAAGCUGGAUUCGCUAGUAAUCGCGCAUCAGCCACGGCGCGGUGAAUACGUUCCCGGGCCUUGUACACACCGCCCGUCAAGCCAUGGAAGCCGGGGGUGCCUGAAGUGCGCUGCCGCGAGGAGCGCCCUAGGGUAAAACCGGUGACUGGGGCUAAGUCGUAACAAGGUAAC
rnacentral:rRNA from 1 species